UGGGGAAUAUUGCACAAUGGGCGCAAGCCUGAUGCAGCCACGCCGCGUGUAUGAAGAAGGCCUUCGGGUUGUAAAGUACUUUCAGCGAGGAGGAAGGCGUUGUGGUUAAUAACCGCAGCGAUUGACGUUACUCGCAGAAGAAGCACCGGCUAACUCCGUGCCAGCAGCCGCGGUAAUACGGAGGGUGCAAGCGUUAACCGGAAUUACUGGGCGUAAAGCGCACGCAGGCGGUCUGUCAAGUCGGAUGUGAAAUCCCCGGGCUCAACCUGGGAACUGCAUCCGAAACUGGCAGGCUAGAGUCUUGUAGAGGGGGGUAGAAUUCCAGGUGUAGCGGUGAAAUGCGUAGAGAUCUGGAGGAAUACCGGUGGCGAAGGCGGCCCCCUGGACAAAGACUGACGCUCAGGUGCGAAAGCGUGGGGAGCAAACA
rnacentral:rRNA from 1 species